ACCAAGAAGGCCAAGUUGUACUAAAUAUGGUGAAAAGACAGUUAGGUAUAAUAUAUUGUUAUUAGAUUCUCUGUUUAAGGGUGCAAUCUGAAUUCAAAUGAAAAUUUUAGAAAUAACAUAAAAACUGAAGCUGUAAAGAUCUAGAGGGAAACUAGGAUUAGAUACCCUAUUAUUCUUGAUAGUAAAUUGAAAUAAAAUCUACCAGAGUACUACGAAACAUAAUAAAAUUUAAAACUCAAAGGGCUUGGCGGUGCUUUAGACCACUUAGGGGAACCUGUCUCAUAAUCGACAAUCCACGUAACACCUUACCUUAAUUUGCUUUCAGUAUGUAUACCGUCGUCGACAGGUAACUUUUAAGAAAUGAGAAGUUAGCAAAAUAAGAUUCUGAGAUAACUUAUCUAUUACGUCAGAUCAUGGUGCAGCUUAUAUUAAGGAGAGGAUGGGUUACAAUUAAAAUUUAUAAUUACGGAAAAAAAUAAGAAUUAUUAUUUUUGGAAGGAGGACUUAAAAGUAAAUGUAAAUUAAAUAAAUUCAUUGAAUAUGGCUCUGAAGCGUGC
rnacentral:rRNA from 1 species